rnacentral:rRNA from 1 species
UACGUAGGGUCCGAGCGUUGUCCGGAAUUAUUGGGCGUAAAGGGCUCGUAGGCGGUCCGUCGCGUCGGGAGUGAAAACCUCGGAGGCUUAACUCCGAGCCUGCUUCCGAUACGGGGCAGACUAGAGGUAGGCAGGGGAGAGCGGAAACUCCUGGUGUAGCGGUGGAAUGCGCAGAUAUCAGGAAGAACACCGGUGGCGAAGGCGGCUCUCUGGGCCUUACCUGACGCUGAGGAGCGAAAGCCGUGGGUAGCGAACAGG